CACGGAGGGCGCGAGCGUUGUUCGGAAUCACUGGGCGUAAAGCGCGCGUAGGCGGUUGGGUAAGUCGUUUGUGAAAGCCCGGGGCUCAACUCCGGGAUGCCAGGCGAUACUGUCCGACUGGAGCACGGUAGAGGCAAGUGGAAUUCCCGGUGUAGCGGUGGAAUGCGUAGAUAUCGGGAAGAACACCAGUGGCGAAGGCGGCUUGCUGGGCCGUUGCUGACGCUGAGGUGCGAAAGCGUGGGGAGCAAACAGG
rnacentral:rRNA from 1 species